GUUAAAUGUGAUGAUUUUUUUUACCGCCCCAGUCUGAAAAUAAUGACUGAUUGGUUAUUCUGAUCGAUU